GACGAACGCUGGCGGCGUGCUUAACACAUGCAAGUCGAACGGAAAGGCCCUGCUUUUGUGGGGUGCUCGAGUGGCGAACGGGUGAGUAACACGUGAGUAACCUGCCCUUGACUUUGGGAUAACUUCAGGAAACUGGGGCUAAUACCGGAUAGGAGCUCCUGCUGCAUGGUGGGGGUUGGAAAGUUUCGGCGGUUGGGGAUGGACUCGCGGCUUAUCAGCUUGUUGGUGGGGUAGUGGCUUACCAAGGCUUUGAUGGGUAGCCGGCCUGAGAGGGUGACCGGCCACAGUGGGACAGGGAUACGGCCCAGACUCCUACGGGAGGCAUGAGUGGGGAAUAUUGCACAAUGGGCGGAGGCCGGAUGCAGCAACGCCGCGUGCGGGAUGACGGCCUUCGGGUUGUAAACCGCUUUCGCCUGUGACGAAGCGUGAGUGACGGUAAUGGGUAAAGAAGCACCGGCUAACUACGU
rnacentral:rRNA from 1 species